ACAUACGACCAUAGGCGCUAGAGAACUCGGGAUCCCGUCUGCUCUCCCCUAGAUAAACUUGCGACCGCUGGACUAGUAGUUGGGUCGGUGACGACCAGCGAAUCCCCGGUGUUGUAUGUU
rfam:Chaetomium globosum CBS 148.51 scaffold_1 genomic scaffold, whole genome shotgun sequence.